AUUCCAGUAUAAAUAUAUUCCAUGUUAUAUUUGGGACAUACUUAUAUUAAAA
rnacentral:pre_miRNA from 1 species